GACGUGACUUCAGAGUUUGAUCCUGGCUCAGGAUGAACGCUGGCGGCGUGCCUAACACAUGCAAGUCGAGCGAAGCACUUAAGUUCGAUUCUUCGGAUGAAGACUUAUUUGACUGAGCGGCGGACGGGUGAGUAACGCGUGGGUAACCUGCCUCAUACAGGGGAAUAGCAGUUGGAAACGACUGAUAAUGCCGCAUAAGCGCACAGCAUCGCAUGGUGCAGUGUGAAAAACUCCGGUGGUAUGAGAUGGACCCGCGUCUGAUUAGCUAGUUGGUGGGGUAACAGCCUACCAAGGCGACGAUCAGUAGCCGGCCUGAGAGGGUGAACGGCCACAUUGGGACUGAGACACGGCCCAA
rnacentral:rRNA from 1 species